rnacentral:rRNA from 1 species
UACGAAGGGGGCUAGCGUUGCUCGGAAUUACUGGGCGUAAAGCGCACGUAGGCGGAUUGUUAAGUCGGGGGUGAAAUCCUGGAGCUCAACUCCAGAACUGCCUUCGAUACUGGCGAUCUCGAGUUCGGGAGAGGUGAGUGGAACUGCGAGUGUAGGGGUGAAAUUCGUAGAUAUUCGCAAGAACACCAGUGGCGAAGGCGGCUCACUGGCCCGAUACUGACGCUGAGGUGCGAAAGCGUGGGGAGCAAACAGG